rnacentral:rRNA from 1 species
CUACGGGAGGCAGCAGUGGGGAAUAUUGGACAAUGGGGGAAACCCUGAUCCAGCGACGCCGCGUGGGUGAAGAAGGCCUGCGGGUUGUAAAGCCCUUUCGGUAGGGACGAAAGCUCUUGCCUUAACACGGCAGGAGGUUGACUUAACCUACAUAAGAAGCACCGGCUAACUCUGUGCCAGCAGCCGCGGUAAUACAGAGGGUGCGAGCGUUAAUCGGAAUUACUGGGCGUAAAGCGCACGUAGUCGGCUUUGCAAGCCGGUUGUGAAAUCCCCGGGCUCAACCUGGGAACUGCAUCCGGGACUGCAUUGCUAGAGUAUGGGAGAGGGAAGCGGAAUUUCUGGUGUAGCAGUGAAAUGCGUAGAUAUCAGAAGGAACAUCAGUGGCGAAGGCGGCUUCCUGGACCAAUACUGACGAUCAGGUGCGAAAGCGUGGGGAGCAAACAGGAUUAGAUACCCCGGU